rnacentral:rRNA from 1 species
GGACUACAAGGGUAUCUAAUCCCGUUCGCUCCCCUGGCUUUCGCACCUCAGCGUCAGAUACGCGCCAGGACACUGCCUUCGCCUUCGGUGUUCCUCCGGAUCUCUACGCAUUUCACCACUCCACCCGGAAUUCCGUGUCCCUCUCGCGCUCUCAAGUCACGCCGUAUCUCGUAUCCUCGGAUAGUUAAGCCAUCCGCUGUCACACAAAACGCGCCUGACCGCCUGCAUGCCCUUUACGCCCAGUAACUCCGGACAACGCUCGCCCCCUACGUAUUACCGCGGCGGCUGGCAC